rnacentral:ribozyme from 1 species
UGCCCAGCAACUCCUAUCCCUACCUCCUCGUGGUACUGGCCGGGGUACGAGUAACCUUGGGGAAGAUCGGGUAACCAACCCCCGGUGGGAACUUUGGUCGUAUGCUGACAGGGAAUG